AUUGAACGCUGGCGGCAGGCUUAACACAUGCAAGUCGAGCGAGCGGCGGACGGGUGAGUAAUGUAUGGGGACUGCCCGAUAGCGGGGGAUAACUACUGGAAACGGUGGCUAAUACCCCAUACUGUCGGAUAACCCAUAUGGGAUUAGCUAGUAGGUAAGGUAAUGGCUUACCUAGGCGACGAUCCCUAGCUGGUCUGGGAGGAUGAUCAGCCGCACUGGGACUGAGACACGGCCCAGACUCCUACGGAGGCAGCAGUGGGGAAUAUUGCACAAUGGGCGCAAGCCUGAUGCAGCCAUGCCGCGUGUAUGAAGAAGGCCCUAGGGUUGGAAAGUACUUGCAGUCGGGAGGCGUUACCGACAGAAGAAGCACCGGCUAACUCCGUGCCAGCAGCCGCGGUAAUUC
rnacentral:rRNA from 1 species